GUCUGUGGCCAUAGCACUUUGAACCUGCCUGAUUUGUCUGGUCUCAGAAGCUAAGCAGGAUCAGGCCUGAUUAGUGCUUGGAUAGGAGAAGCAAUGGGUACAGUUGUCACCCCAACCC
rnacentral:rRNA from 1 species